rnacentral:rRNA from 1 species
UGCAGUCGAGCGGUAACAGGUGUAGCAAUACAUGCUGACGAGCGGCGAACGGGUGAGUAAUGCUUCGGAAUCUACCCUAUGGUGGGGAAUAACCAGCCGAAAGGUUGGCUAAUACCGCAUAAGUCCUACGGGAGAAAGCAGGGGAUCGUAAGACCUUGCGCCGAUGGAUGAGCCGAAGUCGGAUUAGCUAGUUGGUGAGGUAACGGCUCACCAAGGCGACGAUCCGUAGCUGGUCUGAGAGGACGACCAGCCACACUGGGACUGAGACACGGCCCAGACUCCUACGGGAGGCAGCAGUGGGGAAUAUUGGACAAUGGGGGCAACCCUGAUCCAGCGACGCCGCGUGUGUGAAGAAGGCCUGCGGGUUGUAAAGCACUUUUAGUGGGGAUGAAAUGUGCAGGGCUAAUACCUCUGCAUUUUGACCUAACCCACAGAAAAAGCACCGGCUAACUCUGUGCCAGCAGCCGCGGUAAUACAGAGGGUGGAAGCGUUAAUCGGAAUUACUGGGCGUAAAGCGUGCGCAGACGGUUGCGUAAGUCAGAUGUGAAAGCCCCGGGCUCAACCUGGGAAUUGCAUUUGAGACUGCGUAGCUAGGGUGCGGAAGAGGGAAGCGGAAUUUCCGGUGUAGCGGUGAAAUGCGUAGAUAUCGGAAGGAACACCAGUGGCGAAAGCGGCUUCCUGGUCCAGCACCGACGUUCAGGCACGAAAGCGUGGGGAGCAAACAGAUUAGAUACCCUGUAGUCCACGCCAUAAACGAUGAGAACUAGACGUUGAGGGUAAGCCCUCCAGUGUCGCACUAACGCGCUAAGUUCUCGCCUGGGGAGUACGCCCAGGUGAAACUCAAAGGAAUGACGGG